AGUCUUGCCAGGGUGCUCUCAUUUGCCCUCAGAGGAGGGAGCAGAGGGCAGACUUGCACAGCUGAGCAGCCUCCCUGAAGAGGGAGGCAUGUUUCUCUGAGGCCUUGUGGGCAAAGGAUGGAGGAGAGAAAGCUGAGCUCAAUUAGGAAGGAUGCUAUUCAAAGACGCUCCCCACCUCUGCAUGGAUGGAUGGGAUGGGUGUGUACAUGCGGUGAGUGGAGCUGUGGGCCCAGCAAGCCUCUGCCCGGAGGGGCUGGCUCUCCGGUGAGCACCGAAGGCAGUGAUUCAUCCAGGGAUCAUCAGAGAGAGCCUGCUGGCGAAGGUGGCAUUGUUCUUCCCAAGCUUUGAUGGGGUUACACAAGCUCGUGCCGAUUUGUGGGUAGAAGCCUUCUCACUUUUCCCUUGCCACUUGUCGCCAAAAGGUAGGAAAGAAGACUGUAUAGCACCUGGGUUGACAUGCGCAUGAAAUCCUUUUCCUGCAGCAUCAAGUCUUAUGUAUCCGCAAA
rnacentral:lncRNA from 1 species